AGCGAACGCUGGCGGCAGGCUUAACACAUGCAAGUCGAACGAAGCCUUCGGGCUUAGUGGCGGACGGGUGAGUAACACGUGGGAACGUACCUUUUGGUUCGGGAUAACACAGGGAAACUUGUGCUAAUACCGAAUGUGCCCUUAGGGGGAAAGAUUUAUCGCCAUUAGAGCGGCCCGCGUUAGAUUAGCUAGUUGGUGGGGUAAAGGCCCACCAAGGCUACGAUCUAUAGCUGGUCUGAGAGGAUGAUCAGCCACACUGGGACUGAGACACGGCCCAGACUCCUACGGGAGGCAGCAGUGGGGAAUCUUGCGCAAUGGUCGAAAGACUGACGCAGCCAUGCCGCGUGAAUGAUGAAGGUCUUAGGAUUGUGAAAUUCUUUUACCAGGGACGAUAAUGACGGUACCUGGAGAAAAAGCUCCGGCUAACUUCGUGCCAGCAGCCGCAGUAU
rnacentral:rRNA from 1 species